UACGAAGGGGGCUAGCGUUGCUCGGAAUCACUGGGCGUAAAGCGCACGUAGGCGGCUUUUUAAGUCAGGGGUGAAAUCCUGGAGCUCAACUCCAGAACUGCCUUUGAUACUGAGAGCUUGAGUCCGGGAGAGGUGAGUGGAACUGCGAGUGUAGAGGUGAAAUUCGUAGAUAUUCGCAAGAACACCAGUGGCGAAGGCGGCUCACUGGCCCGGUACUGACGCUGAGGUGCGAAAGCGUGGGGAGCAAAGCAGGG
rnacentral:rRNA from 1 species